UACGGAGGGUGCAAGCGUUGUCCGGAUUUAUUGGGUUUAAAGGGUGCGUAGGCGGUCCAUUAAGUCCGGGGUGAAAGCCCGUUGCUCAACAACGGAACUGCCCUGGAAACUGGCGGACUUGAGUACAGACGAGGGUGGCGGAAUGGAUGCUGUAGCGGUGAAAUGCAUAGAUAGCAUCCAGAACCCCGAUUGCGAAGGCGGCUACCUGGACCGGUUCUGACGCUGAGGCGCGAAAGCGUGGGUAGCAAACAGG
rnacentral:rRNA from 1 species